AUUGUAUCAUUGUAGUAUAUCCAUUGUUAGUUUUCCCUUCUUUUCAUUGAGCAGUCUCCCUUUUUCUUGAAAUUAAAAUACUCCUUGUCGGAGAGUUAUAUAUAGGAGAAACAAGUAAAAUCAGAAAUUUGUGGGGAAUAUCUAAAGAUUUAUUCAAUGGAAUGCAUAAUUGUAGUAUAUGAGCUAAAAAGAAAAUCUUGAUAAUUCGACAUUUUUAUUUGUAAUGCAGCAAGUAGAGACUUACUUGGAGAUUCAAGAUGACCUGCAUAUUACUAUAUUUCUUAAACUUGACAGUUUUUAAACCUUAGAAGAUUUUAAAAGCAAUGAAUUCUAAUAUUUCAAUACAUUACAAUACCAACUAAUUUUCCAUUUAGUUGAAAUAUAAUGGAUGCACAAUUUUGUUUGAUAGAUUUUCAAAAGUGAAAGGUGGUCAAGGGAGAAAGGACCAUUGCUUUGGCUGUAAGUUAUAAAUUUUACCGUUUGUGUUCUCAUGACUAAGUAGUGAAUGGUUUUCCCUGUUGUGUUUGUGCCAUUGUGCUGAACAAAAUUAUCCUUCUUAGAUCGACUCUCUCCAAGCCUUUAUUAAAGGUCGUAAAGCAAAAGACAAAAAAGAAUGUUGGCUGCAGGGAAAAGAAGAAGUCUUCAAAGAUGCUCUCAUUUGUGCCUUGGCAUUCAAGAUAUUUCACGGAUAUGAAUACAAAGUCUCCUCUGGUACCUCUCUAAUUUGUAAUUGCAUUAGUUUGUUUUCUGGAAUAUUAUUUAUUGUUGAAAUAAUUUUAGCAAAGUUAGGUGUGCAUUAUAUAAGCUUCUGAAGCAAGACAAUGUAGUACAUAUUUGAAGGACAUACAUACUAUGUUGGAUUUGUUGUGUUAGAAAUGAUUAUUGAUACAGAUUAAUUGGUUUCAAACAAAUAGAACUUUUCAUCCUUACAUUUUUUGAGACAAGAACUACCCUCCAAAUAGACUCUCCAGGAAAAUUCAUGAAUAGGUAUUUGCCAUAAGUUGCAUUAUGAUCAACUCAGUUUAUUGUUAUUGUCUAUUUGAGACAAGGCCAAUGAUUACAGUUGCUUAUUUUUAGAUGAAUGGUGUCUUAAUUUCCUUCUAUGCAAACUUACAAUGGAUAGCCAUUACGAGACACGUGGAGCACUAUGACGUAGAUAAUACCAGAGUCUCCUAGAAACUUCAUAUUUGUAACUUUGGUCAAUUAUCUUAAUCGUUGUUCUUGUGCCUUUUUUGGUUAUCAUGUACUCCUUUUUUUUUUUUUUAGAGUAUGCUUGCAAUCCCUUUUGGGAUAAUAUGAUAACAUAAGGUGAGAAGCUUUAUUCAUGCUAUAGUUCUCAUGAUGCGGAAUUCAAGUGUUUGUGGUAACAGAUUGAAGGAAGUGCCAUCUUCAGAUUUCAACUCAGGACGACCAUCUGUAAUGCGAUACUCCAGCAAGAGGAAAAAGAAUAGCAAAAAUUGUACCUUCCCGUGGUUGGUCAAUUUAUUAUGAUCAAAGCGAAGAUAUGCUGUCUUAUCUUUUUAACUGAUAAGUUUGUUUCUUAAGAUAAAUAUGGACGCCUCUGUCUAGCUAUGUGCUUUCUAUUUCACCAAACUUCAUAUAUUUUGCAGAGUUUUCCUAAUUGUUCUUUGGAAUUAAUACAAUUAUUUCUUUAUACGACAUAUGUAAUCAAAUGUUUUCCAAGUGAUCCAUAAACCACAUAUACUUUUAAGCUUUUAUUCAUUUUAGUCUUUUAUGAUGACAAAAUAAUAACCACUUUCUUAUUUCACGUAAAUAUACUGCGUUUACAUGCAGAAGAUGAGCAUCACUGAAUGAAAAUUUAUAAACAUGAACUGAUACUUCAAACUUGAAGUUACUAUAGAAGAGCAUAAAUCAGUAUAAGCAACUGGAAGGUGCACUUGGGGGAUAAGAGUAUAAUUCGGUAUUAUUUUAAGACUAGCGUAUAUAAAUUUAGACGAUUGGUAUAGGAUAAUUUCAUGAAUUAUUGGUUGUUGUGGAAACUAAAAAGUAUAUAGAUCAUAGUAAAUUCCGGUUGAUAUCAUUUAGACUAAUUCCCUUUAUUUUGCGACUAUUUAGGGUAAUAAGUGGUCCAGCAUUAGUUGGGUUGAUCAUCUUCUCCGUCAAACUCUUACUGUACCGCUUUGAACAGCUUCCAUGCUUGCUUUGUGUUUAGUUUGGAUAAUAGGGGAUAGAGGAAGGAAUCUUCUGCUUUGGUCUCCUCUCCUCUUCCCAAUUAUGUUUUGGUGAAUAUAGCUUGGCAAAUAAUAUAAGGACUUCUUCGUAGUUCAGGGCAUGAGUGGAAGCAUAGGCCAUAAAGGUAGGCAUUGUACCUUUGCAAUACAGGUCCAGCAUACAGCCAUUCAGCUGUGUUAUGAUUCUUUUUUGGUUAAAUAAUCAUGAAGCUUCUAUACAUUAGGUUGUCAUGCGAGAAUAGUAACUCGACCAUAGGUCUAAUUGGAUGUUACUGAACAUUUAUCUCUUAAUUGUUUAGAUUUGACAACAAAGUUCGGACGAUAGCAUUUGGCUAUGUUACUAAAGAUAAGCAAGGAGGAAUUUGUCCUGAAGAUUGAAAAUAAAAUGUAGUAAAGAGAGUCAAGAGCAGUGGUGAAGGAGGAAUUGGCAUAUGGAAAGACCAAAGUUUCAGCUGGCCUCCGAGCCACAAACUGCUCAAAUCAUAUUAUUUAUGGACCUUAAUCUCAGUGGUAUUCUUGAUCUCAAAAAAACACAAUAUGUAUAUGAGCACUUCAUUAUCAGAUACUGAGAACUUCAUUUAUGCAUACCUCAUGAAGCAAGCUGAGGAAUGUGAUUGUACAACUUUGGUCCACAAAUGAAUCUACGGAAUAUGAAACAUAUUUAUGUUAAUUAUUUUUCAGUUUUGUGAUAUUGCUUCCUUCUUUCUUUUA